rnacentral:sRNA from 24 species
CGGAAGUGCCUUUUCGGAGCCGGGUCCGAUUAAUGCGUGAGAACAUCAAUCAUCCCAGCUCAGAGGGCACUUUCCUCAUUCCGACACUCGAUGAACAGCUAAUUCAUCCGUGGAUUCAG